rnacentral:rRNA from 1 species
AGCGAACGCUGGCGGCAGGCCUAACACAUGCAAGUCGAACGAACUCUUCGGAGUUAGUGGCGGACGGGUGAGUAACACGUGGGAACGUGCCUUUAGGUUCGAAAUAACUCAGGGAAACUUGUGCUAAUACCGAAUGUGCCCUUCGGGGGAAAGAUUUAUCGCCUUUAGAGCGGCCCGCGUCUGAUUAGCUAGUUGGUGAGGUAAAGGCUCACCAAGGCGACGAUCAGUAGCUGGUCUGAGAGGAUGAUCAGCCACAUUGGGACUGAGACACGGCCCAAACUCCUACGGGAGGCAGCAGUGGGGAAUCUUGCGCAAUGGGCGAAAGCCUGACGCAGCCAUGCCGCGUGAAUGAUGAAGGUCUUAGGAUUGUAAAAUUCUUUCACCGGGGACGAUAAUGACGGUACCCGGAGAAGAAGCCCCGGCUAACUUCGUG